GGCGUGGAUAUACAACACAUGCAUCGACGUUGCCCCCAUGUGAGGGCCGCAUCCACUGGCUGGCAGCGCAAGCAGAGCAGAGAGAUGGAUCCUCUUCUCCUUUCUUCGAUCCCUUCUUGGAGCUCUGUUGUUACUCUAGUCUCGUUCUUGAGCUACUUAGGUAUCAUUGGAUCUAUUCUGCCUGCCAAGAUCGUCCAUGACGCUACUCUAUCUGAUGGCACCCGUCUCUGCUACCGCUGCAAC